UGGAGAGAGGAGGCAAGACAACUGUAGGUGUCAUUUCUUACGACUGUCUCAAAUCUACAAUUAUCUCAAGAUAAAAAAUGGCAAUUUAGGCUUUAAGGAGAGUUUUGAUCUAACCAGUGUCCGAUGAGCCUACGUGCUCCAGUGCUGCACGAUAUCCAGGUUGUCAGCCGCUACCUGAUUGCACUUCCCAAAACUGUUCUCUGCUGGCUCUGAUUCUCUUGUCCUUUCCAACUCAAUCGCUUGGAAAGCUUACAUGUAUUUUCUCUAUCUUAGGAUCUAUAAUUACUCUUAUUACCCUUUCCCAUCCUCAUUCUUCUCUGCACAGGAGAUCAAAUUGCCCCAAGCCUCUCACUGUUAGGACACAGAACACACAUGACAGCUCAGCAUCUUAUGUGCCGCGGACCAUCUGUUUUGCACCACCAGGCUCCUCACCAAGAGGCCAGUGAAGGAGAAGCCUCUGGCAGGUGGGAGUGGCUGAGAAAGACAGAUGAGCAACCUAGACACAGUGCCUAGAGCUGAACACCUCCCUGUGUCCACUGCCUUCUCCGUCUCAGGUGGGUGAGGGGACACUGGCAAAGGCAGGCCUGGAGCAGGGCACUGCUGUGAGGGCCACUCCAGGUCACUCCUCCCUGCAGGAGCUGUUUCUAUGUUCUGGGGAAGACCUGGAACUCCCAAGGAAGGGCCUAUUUCCUUCUAUGCAGCCUGGCUCCCUGUGGGCUGUGCCAAGCCUGGGGAAGGAGCAGCUCCUUCUUGAACAUACUAAGAGGAUUUAUCCCAGGAUUGCUCUCACAUCCCUAGGAGGCCUUUGGUUCACAUACAUGUCCUAUUGAACUCAGAGUCAGGGGAAGAAAGAUGAGGAGACAUGGUCUACCAUAAUUGGGAAUAUAGGAAUUAAUUAAGUAAUUAAUUAUGACUCUAGGGGAUUGGAGGGGUUCCUUUGCCAGUCAGAAACUCUCCUCUGGAAACAGGAAGUUUGUCCACCUGCCGUAUGUCAUAAACAUGCUAAAAUUUCUUUCCACAGACUUGAUAAAAUGUCUCUUUUCUCAUCAUGGAUCGAAGCUAUUUUCAUCAUCUCUUUGGUGUUUCCUCUUUAUUCUGAAACAUCUUUACCACCUAUUCAUGAAAUCCUAAAUGUGGUAAGUCACUAAUGAUGGAAGGUGGAAAAAAUAAAAUACUUACUCUUUUAUUGUAAAUUGUAACA
rnacentral:lncRNA from 12 species